rnacentral:tRNA from 1 species
GCCUACGUGGUGUAAGUGGAAGCACACUUGACAUGUAUUCGAGAGGUCUAGGGUUCGAAUCCUAGCAAGGGCA